GGAGUCUAGCAUGUGCGCGAGUCAUUGGGACUCUAGCGAAACCUAAAGGCGAAAUGAAAGUGAAGGUUCGUCUUCAGUUGCGAACCGAGGGAGGAUGGGUAGUAGCGCUAUAUUCGCGCUCGCCCCGCACUCCCGGGGCGUUUCGUUCUCAUUGCGAGAUGAGGCGCACCCAGAGCGUACACGCUGGGACCCGAAAGAUGGUGAACUAUGCCUGGUCAGGACGAAGUCAGGGGAAACCCUGAUGGAGGUCCGUAGCGAUUCUGACGUGCAAAUCGAUCGUCGGAACUGGGUAUAGGGGCGAAAGACUAAUCGAACCAUCUAGUAGCUGGUUCCCUCCGAAGUUUCCCUCAGGAUAGCUGGCGCUCGAUUAAAACGAGUGUCAUCCGGUAAAGCGAAUGAUUAGAGGCAUUGGGGUCGAAACGGCCUCAACCUAUUCUCAAACUUUAAAUGGGUGAGAACUCCGGCUUGCUCGAAAAUUAUUAUUUUAUAAUAUUGAAGCCGCGAGAAAUUAUAAUUAUUACAUAUAUAUAACAAGGAUCAGAGUGCCAAGUGGGCCACUUUUGGUAAGCAGAACUGGCGCUGUGGGAUGAACCAAACGCAGAGUUAAAGCGCCAAAAUCGACGCUCAUACGAUACCAUGAAAGGCGUUGGUAACUUAAGACAGCAGGACGGUGGCCAUGGAA
rnacentral:rRNA from 1 species